AUAUGUAAUUUCGUAUGUUUUAACCCUAAAUGGUUCACUUCAAUCAUUAUUUACCCAACACUCUCCUUUCAAAAGCACUUAUCGGCUAUCGCCGCCAUGGAUGUGAGCUGGUAGAUCAUUCUUCCGUGAAAGUGCUGUUAGUCUGCAUGCAAGCAACUAAAUCAACUUCAGUUUUGCAUUUCUCUAUGAUCCUUUUCAAAUUCUUAUUCGUUUCUGCAAAUCAUAUAAUGGAAGUCGCUUAUUAAUGAACAUGAAAGUUGGAAUAGUUGAUUUUGUGGUUGAAUUCGACAUGGGUAUACUGUUCUCGAUGGAUUUAGUUGAGAAAAUGUUGGAGAUGGUUUUUCCAACUCGUUGUGAAGUUCUUUCAUCCCCGAUUUCUCUGUUUAAAAGGCAAUGACUUCCCGAGGGCUAUAAUUGGGACUUCACAUAUGGAUGGUCAAAAGACCAACGAUGAACAAGGCCAACAUUCCAUGGAAAACUCUAAUGACUUUGGUCUUAUUUUUUAGGCUAAUCAACAAGAAAUUUUGUAUGCAAGCCUUAUUAGAAGAGUAAAGGGGGCUCAAAAAUUUGUGGACAUUCAAGCCCUUAAGGACCUACAUAUCUAUAAAGGUGUCCACAAACUCUUCAAGAACAUAGGAUGAAAAAGUUUAUUGAAUCUACAUGCAGUAAGUUAUCAAACACCAAUGUUGGAACUUUUGUCAUCAAUUAAUUUUGACUACCAAAAAAAUAUCCUUACUUUCCGUUUGCUCAAUCAAUCUCAUCAAAUUCAUGCUUACAUCCUUUGUGAUAUUAUUAGUGCUCCUAAAGCAAAAAGGGAUGUGUAUACAACAAAAUGAAGAAAAAAUAUUAUGUUUGAGCAAAACUGCAGAAGGUUUUGAAAAAGCAUCUCUUGUGAAGACGAGUUUCAGUCAGGCACAGCAAGAGCUUCUAGAAUUAUUCAUCCGGUCCUGAAGGUCAUCCACCGGAUUAUUGUUUCUCUUUUAUUUCCUCAAGAAGAGAUUAGCAAGGCAAACAAGAAAGAAUUAGAAGUUUUAUGGUGCAUGAUUAACAAGCCCGAGGAAGUUCCUUACUUCGGGUGUUGGGUAAUUCAGAAAAUGCUCAGAAAUGCCUUGAGCAACUUCAUUGUGGAGACAUGGUUUCUAUUAUAGCUGAACAUCUUGGCCUCCACUUACCCAACAACCCAACAUAUAUAAUCACGGGCCGUACUCGUCUCUUAAUUGAUGUUAUGGAGACCAUCACCUUUUUCACCGCCUUCCCAAUGGGGAUGUUCAUUGGACCGUAGAUGGAAAAUAGUAUCUAUGGAUUGACAGACGAAAUAAGAAGAUAUCCACCAAGUACUUGUGCUUCCCACACAACAGUAACAGUCAUCAUCAUCCCAACCCCAGUGGCCUGCAUAUUAUCCUACUAAUUAUCAUCCUUCACAGUUCCCACCAUAUCUUCCACCCGGCCCUCAAUAGGCCGGCUGUGCCUCUCUCCAAGCAUCGAGGACGAUGCUUAUUUUAAGCUUGGGGAGAGGCAUCCAUCAAUGCAUAAAUCCCAUUGCAUGUAGGUUGCAUGUAAUUUUGUACAUAUUGCAUUGUAUUAUUUUUCUUUUUCAUCAUUAUUAUUAUUAUUUUUUAAUUUUUUUUGCAUAGAAAAUUGUUCAAAAUUCAAAAAGAUUUUCUUUCUAUUUUAUCUCUAA